AUUCAUUCAAACCACUAACUUUCAAAUAAAGAUAAAGAAAAGAAAGAUCUGUUCAAAAAUUCUACUUCCUACCAAGUUUUAAAUGAAUAGGAAAGGUUUUCCUGAUUUCGAUCAGGAUAGCUUUGAUAUCGUCAGUUUAAAAAGCGAUUUUGAUAUGAUUAAUAUAUUAAAAAUUGCUAAAAAAAUUGCCAUAUCGGCUUCCAGCGUUAGUAUUACACGUAAACAUCUUAUACAAGCUCGAGAAAUUUACAAAAAAUUUGACAAAUAGAAGUGAAACCAUUGAUGUCACAUGAAAAGAUUUUUUUAAAUUGGAAAUAUUGUUGAAUGAGCUAUUUUUUAUUAAAGCAUGUAUUUAUAGAAUAAUUUUAAUAAAGUUAUUUAAUUUUAUA